rnacentral:lncRNA from 1 species
GUAAGUAGGCCUCUCCAUCCUGAUAGCGAGGGAGGCCUCAUCGGGUUUGACCCCGGCAUGCUUUGACACCUUUUUCACUGUUGGAAGAUGCUCUGACUUUAAAGUAGAAAGCAGACUUGACUGAAGCUGAUUGACACAGGUCAAGGGGACUUCAAGGAAGAAAGCCAGCCUUAGACUGACAUCAGAGAACCAAACUCCGGUGUCUAAGCUCAAGAGGUUAGAAUCCUGAGAACUGUUUGGAAUAAGGAAUCCAAAUAUUGUCUUCCAGCUUCACCUUGUCACGACAGUCCUCGCCAGGGACAGCUGAGCCUUGCGUGGAUGAAACAGUCCCAACGAACACUUUAAAAAGACAAAUGUUCCCGACAGCACUGGUUGAAUUCAAAACUCGGCAGAUCCAUGUUCUUAUCCUUAGACAAGAGAGGGGCCAUAACAAGAUGGAAUGACGGAACAGACGUGAGAGAUGAUGGUACAGUGACUCGGGUAACCCCAGAAAAGGGACAGCUCUUCUACAGCUCAGUGGGGACAGGGACAAAAAGAAACAAUUUCAUUUCAGUCCACCCAGAGGGUCUGCACUUCUCGGAGCCAGAAGGUGGAGAAGAGUAGGGAUGGAGGAAGUUCGAAGUUUUAGGAGUCUGCUCUUGGGUCCCUAGGCAUGAGGACAAGCUUUUCCUGUACUCAAUGCUCAUCUCUCAGUUGUGCCCACAUUGGUACACAUUACUUGCUUUCAACUGCUGCUGCUGCUGUUUCCUAAUUCAAUAAAGAUAUGGCUGGCUCAGCA